rnacentral:tRNA from 1 species
GGAUUGUAGCUCAGUGGUAGAGCACUUGCCUCGCAUGUGAGAGGCACUGGGUUGGAUCCUCAGCACCA